CAAGUUUAAACAGUACACUAUUUAAAAUGGGAAAACAUCCAACAGGUAAUUGCGAGUUUUGUUUUCUAGGAGAGAUAGUAAAACAUGUUUUGUUGAUUAUAUAAAUUGCGUCCUGAUCCACACUCCAUACCAGUAGGUGGUGGUAAUGCACUCCAUUAAGUUGCUUGCCAACCGCCAUUUAAACAAAAAGAAGAAGUUCACUGCCAGAAUAUCAUCAGCUUGCCUGUGGUUCUCCAGCGUUUUCAUCCAUGUCUCGUUUUUGCCUCUCGAUCCCGACCUUGUUCUUGUCCCCUGGUUCAACGAUUUUCGCCUCAGCCCCUAAUGGAUUAUAACUGCCAUCUGCUUUACCGGUAACGACUCAUGCCUUGCUUCUUGGACUCCUGUUCUUUGCCUCACCCCUGAUCGGUACCUCCAGCCAUCUGACCACCUGGAUCUCGACCCACGCUUGUACCACGGAUUAUCAGAACUUGCCUUUUGGAACCGAACACUCCAACCAAACUAACAGUGACGUCACUGCACCGUGCUGGAAUGCAAACCUUUCCAUCAAAGUUUCUGUCUGGAGUCCUUCAACUGGAAACAGAUCUGAUGAGAAUCUGGUCCAAGCACUUCCUGGUUCAUUCACUUUUGCACAAUAAACUUUGUAAAACUUU